UCAACUACUCACACCCCCUGAGCUGAGGCUUGCUUUGCCUCCCCACCACAACCCUCUGCUUUUCCUCUAUUUCUUUUCUUUCCGUUCAUUCCUUUUUCUAGCAUCAAUCAUUCCUUUUUAGCCAUGUAUUCGAAUACCUUUUACGGCGGCAGCAGCAGCCGCCCUGGCCCGACAGGGUUUGGCCAGCAACAACCACCGCCGCCGCAACAACAACAGCAACAACAGCCCCAACAGCAGCCUUUCCCCGGAUUCUCUCAACCUCAGCAGCAAAAUCUUCAGCCAGGCGCGUUCAUGCCGCAAGCUACCGGCUUUGCUGGCAGCAAUCCGAUGCAGCAGAUGCAAAUGCAAAUGCCAAUGCAACAGCCACAGCCUACCGGCUUUCCGCCUUCGCAUCAGUUUACUGGCUUCCCUCUCCAAAAUCAACAACCCCCAAGUGCAGCCACGGCGGUGACUCAGCAGCAGCUGUCAGCGCCUUUGCCAAACCCCCCACAUGAAACAGGCAUGACUUCGACACAGAUUGCACACUCCUUUGCGCAGCCGGCAACUCCAGCUGUUCCGGCGCAACAACACGCUUCUUCAGGCUCCAAGAUUCCGAAUAUGCGCCUUUCUUUCAUCACCGCACAGGACCAGGCGAAAUUCGAGCAGCUUUUCAAAUCAGCUGUGGGAAAUAAUCAGGCGUUGGAUGGAGAAACGGCGAAGGAUCUACUUAUGCGUUCCAAGCUGCCUGGAAGUGAUCUUUCGAAUAUUUGGGUGCUUUCCGAUACCACGAAAUCAGGCCGCCUCCUCUUCCCCGAAUUUGCGUUGGCGAUGUACCUCUGCAAUUUGAAGCUAACUGGCAAGGAGCUUCCAUCUGUCCUUCCCGAGCGCAUUGCGAAUGAAGUCUCCAGUAUGGUCGAUAUCAUAUCCUUCGCUGUCCCAGAUGAUAGACCUGCCCCUCCUCAAACGAAUGUACCGAAAUUUGAUGCUCCGCUGAUGCAGAACGCAUCCGCGCCGCCUGCACCGCAGCAACCCCAGCCACAACAGCCAUCCAAUACCCAACUGCUCUCCCAACUGACCUCCCAGCCCACCGGAUUCUAUAACCAGGCCACCGGCCUUCAACCUCCUUCGAUUGUGCAGCCCCAACAAACUGGAUUUCCAGCCCAGAAUGCUGGUCUCCGUCCACAACAAACUGGGUUUUUGAAUAACCCUCAGUCAACUGGUUAUAACGGACCACGGCCGCCUAUGCCGCCUAUGCCUACAGGAUAUGGCUCGGGCCUUUCGCCAUCUCAGACUGGACUUGCCCCUUUGAACGCUCAGCCAACUGGGGUCCCUGGCCAAUGGGGUUUUGUCAACGCUCCCGCGACUGGAUUGCCGAACAUCGAAGCAUUACAGCAACGAUUGAUGCCUCAACCGGGACGUGAAGGCGGAUUCACGACGCAAGGCCUAUCCGGGAACGCGACGAUUCCAUGGGCAGUGACCAAGGAUGAAAAGAAGAUCUACGACCAGCUGUUCAGAGCAUGGGAUGGUUUCAAUAAAGGGUUCAUUGGAGGCGACGUGGCGAUCGAAAUCAUGGGUCAGAGUGGCUUGGAACGUCAGGAUCUUGAGCGCAUCUGGACAUUGUCUGAUCCGAACAACCGGGGAAGACUGAACAUGGAUGAAUUUGCCGUCGCAAUGCAUCUGAUAUACCGGAAACUCAACGGAUAUCCUGUGCCAAAUCGUCUCCCGCCCGAACUCAUUCCCCCUUCAACGAGGAAUUUUAACGACUCUAUUGGAACCGUCAAGUCUCUACUGUCCCAGGAUGCGGAGUCUCGCAAGUCUUCUGGUGCAUUUUUACAACCUCAGCAGACUGGUGUUAGUUAUUUGAAGAAUCACUCUUUCCGUAGCGGAUCAUCCACACCUGGUGCUGGGAGGAAAGAUGCAACCGUAUUUAAAAAUAAUGAUGACGCUAUAGGGUAUAGGUCAAGCGCGCGCCGUCGUGUUGGUGGGGGUGGAACACCUUCUCCCUCUCCGUCCCCAACGCCAGAACGUUCUGAUGACGACGUUUCAGUUGAGCAAUUGAAGAAGAAAAUCCGGGAAACGAAAAUCAUGCUGGAUGCUACUGAUUUCCGAGACCAAAAUCGUGCAGAGGAAGAGGAGGCCCUUAGCCGUAGAGAUCGUCGGGAGGCUGAGUCUCUCAUGGAGAGAAUUCGACGUGUUCAAGAUGAUAUCGAUACCGACCCCAAGGCUGCGUUCCGCAUCACGGAUUCGGGAGCUGAACGCCGUUCCCUGCGAAGACAGCUCCAGUCUUACCAGGACCAACUUCCCGAAUUAGCUUCUAAUGUUCGCAAGGUUGAGCGAAGCAUUGCGGAUGCUAGGCUUGAGUUGUUCCGUCUAAAAGACGCAAAGGCUCACCCCAGUGCUGCCGCUGCGAUUGUUGGAACUGGCCCUGGUGGCACUGUUACAGAGUCUGACCGGAUCAAGGCCCGCGCGCGUGCCAGAAUGCAAGCCAGGGCUGCUGAGCUAGCUGGGAGACCGCCACCAUCUACCGAUGAUGAUGGGGCUGCAGCCCGGCGACUCGAGGAGGAGACAGCGUCUGUUAAGGCUGAGCGGGAGCGGAAUGAUGCUAUGACUAGGGAUGUGGAGGAGAGUGUUAAAGAGUUUACGCGGAGCCUUGAAGAUGGUCUGAAGGAUGUCGAUGAGAAUUCUACGCGUGAGCAUGAAAGGAGGCGGUGGGAAGAGGCUCUGGGCGUUGAGGAUACGAUCAGAGAUUUCAUCUAUGAUCUUCAGCGGGCGAGUAGGACAGCGAGAGUUCGGAAGGACGAGAGAACCGCAUCUUCCCAAAGAUCCGUAUCUAAUAACCGCUAUGAUAAUGCAUCAUCUAACGGUGACACCCUGCCAGUCCGGCCAUCUCAGCCCCAAUCCACUGGCUCUCCUUCAUUGGCUGGCUUUACCCAUCAGGAACGUGUGACGUCCGCCAAGGAGCGAGCGCAGAAACGUAUUGCAGAGCGCAUGGCCGCAGCUGGACUCAAGCCAAACUCUGAUGGAAGCGGUGAAACCCUUCUCGAACGUCAGGAACGAGAAAAGCGUGAACGAGAAGAGCGACGAAAACGAGCGGAGGAGGAAGAUGCGAAACGGGAGCAAGAGAGGCAACGACGCAUUGCUGAGGAGCAAAAUGGUCCUCCUGUAAAAGCCGCUACCACUGGCAAGAAACCUCCUCCGCCUCCAUCGCGAAAGGGUAAGGCGGAUGGCGUUGGUCCUGCGGAAACGAGGAAGCUUGGUGAUUUGAAGAAUGCUGCUAGGGAGAAGGCUGAGCAUGAGGGGAGAGAGAAGGCUCUGAGAGAGGAGCAGCUAGCUCAGGAAGCUGAGAGUCGCCGUUUAGAGGCUGAGGCCAGACAACAAGAAGACGAACUGGCAAGAGAACGCGAAGCUGCCCAGGCCCGUCUCAAGGCAUUAGAGGAGCAGGUUAGACAGGGCAAGAUUAAGAAGCAAGAAGAAAAACGCCGGAAGCAACUUGCUGAAAAGGAAGCUAAAGAGAAGGAGGCACGACUUGCUAUUCAGCGUGCAGAGCUUGAGGCUGCACAGGCUCGGGAGAGAGAGCUACAGCGUCAACUUGAUGGUCUCGAUGAAGAAGAAUCAUCAGAUGAUGAAGGCCCCGUCGAGGUUACUCCACAAAAUAGCACUCCUACACAGAGUGCUGUUUUACCUUCAGCUACUACUACCAUGGCGUUACCUCCGUCUUUCCCACGACCUGCAACACCACCACCAGCGCCGUUUGAACCAGAACUAGCGUCUGAGGUUGCUUCUGCUACGAGUACCUCCAUUCCGAGUCCAGAAUCUGUCAAACAGCGCGUAGCGGCUGAUACAGAAUCGAGGAACCCUUACUUCCGUAAAAUGGGUCAGUCGGUAGAUACGCAACCACCUAGCUUCCACACGCCACCCGAACAAAUACCAGAUCCUCUUUCGACAACUGAAGUUGCACCCCCGCCUGCGCCCGCACCCGCACCUCCCAAGACUGAGAUUCAAUCAACAAACCCAUUCCACCGCCUAGCUCAGCAACAGGAAAGCCAAAAAUCCGCCUUCGCUGCUGCGCCUCUCCCUGGUCCUCUCACCCGCAAGUCCCGUGCGCGCCCUGAAGACGAUGAAUGGUCCAUCGCCGAAUCGGAAAACUCUUCUGAUGAUGAUGACGAUAGACCUGCCGGUGGCAGCGCUAAACAUCUAGCCAGCAUCCUUUUUGGCACCAUGGGCCCUCCACGCCCCCUCAGCGCGAUGGAUGAGAAACCGGAGUCUAAAUCUGCUACUCCUGUCCAGGAGAGUCCUACGGUGGCUGCGUCGCCGCCACCACCACCACCACCUCCUCCGUCGGAACCUGCUCCAGUCACAGCGCUACCACCAGCCGUCGCUGCGCAAGAUGUGGAAGAGGAUGAUGAUGACGACGAUGAAAAUGACUUCCAAGAUGCGCCUUCAAUGCCUCCACCUCCUCCACCUCCUCCCGUUCCUGCUUCAUUCGCGGAUGCACCACCAACCGCACCUCCUCCACCACCCCCACCUCCACUACCUGUCGGUGGUGCCCCAGAAGGUCCUCCGCCGCCCCCGCCUCCUGCUGGAGAUGCGCCGGCUAUUCCCAAGGCAGCGGGCCCAGAUGCUGGAGCUGGGAGAGGGGCGCUGUUAGCUAGUAUUCAGGCCGGGAAAGGGUUGAGGAAGGUGGAGACUAAGGAUCGGAGCGCGGCCUCAGUUUCGGGCAGGGUUCUUUGAGGGUACUCUUUCUGGGAGGGCUUUACGAGUGUGGAUGGGUGUGAGGUUGAGGCGGGUGGAGGGGUUGUUUGACAUGGUAUUUAUUGACUUUGAUGGGAGUGAGUGUUGAGUUUUGUGGUUUUGAGUUUUAAGAAGUUGGCGAGAUUGUGUGCUACGUAUGUUCGGGACGGAUGCUUGAUGUAUGGAUAGAUGUAUGUAUGCAAUUGAGAUGACUAUAGUAGGAUAUAGUAGUUUUUGAUAUACAUUUUCUCUUUCUAGGUCUCUUGAUUGAUAUAUUUUUUGGACUCGGUCUUGUACGUUGUUUUGUCGUAACAGGCUGACUGCCAGUGAGGGUGGUCUUCUAAAGUAGAAAAUGGGAAUGGCUGUAUCUCCCCCAAUACAAUAUCCGUAUUCUAUCCAUAGACUAUCAGGUGAAGGGCGAAGGUUGAUAACAUAAAAGAAAUGACGGUGAAAACUGGUAGGUCGGGGAGACAGACAUACACAACACGACCCAGAAGCCAAACAAAAGAUAUCAGAAAGGCAUGGAAGCAGAACGGGAAAAUGGGAAUGGGUAAAAUAUAUAGACAGAGAAAAAAAAAGAAUACACGCUAAGCUAAUUCGAAGAAACUACCUCCAGCACCACAUUCGCAACCGUCGUCACCGUCCACAAAGCCACCAGACCCCAGCCAAUCUUCCGGUCCAUCCACCACCCAUUCAGCGGCACGAUAAUCAGUAGCAGCACCAGCGUCACCAACAGCGUUGCUGCGCUUAUCAACAACGUCUUGGUUAGUUCGAUCUCAUACGGGUUAGAGGCGGCAGAGAGCUUCUGCGCUAUAACACUUCCUGUCGUAGACGCAGGAAAUGAUUUCAUCGGCUGAAGCGUCAUGUACAACCCGCCCAUGCCAACGCCGAGAAGGAUAUUCAGCAUGGGCCCGCCGAAGCAGGCGCUCAGCGCCAUGACCGGGUAUCCCAAACGAGCCACGGUGAUGUCGGCAACGAGAUCGCCGAGGGAGUUGCCGACUGCGAAGAUGGUCAGGCCCAGGAGUGAGUCGCUGAUGCUGAGGAUGACGCCGAUGGCUUUGAGGAGGUUGACGACUUCGGAGGCGAGGGUGGAGAUCCAGGCGAUGGAUACGACGAAGCCGAGGAAGGCGACAAAGGGGCGGAAGCGCCGGGGGAGUUGUUGGUUGGGGGUGCUGUUGGCUUUUGUGGCGAGGAGGAGGAUGGUGAGGAAGAUGGCGGAGGCGAGGAGUGCAACUAGGGUGGAAAGGAGGAGGUUUCGAGGUUUCAGGUUGCUAUCCAGACUUGACCAGGCUAUUAGUGCUAUGAAGCAUGGAGCUACCAAGAGUUGGAGGACUAGGAGCCACCGGUUGAAUUCCUUGGGCGACGAUGGUAUUGGUUGGUCUUUCGGCAGCGUUGGUGGAACGGGGGCCUCGGAGUCCUGUCGAAUCCGGCUCCCAGUUGGGAGAAGCGAAGCUCUCGUAGCGCGGUCGUGGUCACCGUCCAAUCCUUCUGUAUCUGGUACUACUGCUAUUCGACACAUGUCAGACGCAUGAUGACUCGGUUGAGGAGGAUUUGUCCCACUCUCCUGGACACCAGAGACAUUGAUUUCCGGUUCUGGAGGAGUCUCCGGCUCAGACUCCUUUGGUUCAACAACGGGAAGCGUGAUAGUUAGGAGUAGGACACUGGGCGCAGCAACGACUCCAAGGAGAAUUUCCCAUACGGGUUUUAUUCGCCAGUCGUAUAAGGUUGGAAAUAAAACCGCAGCUAUAGUAUGAGGAGAGGGAA
rnacentral:sRNA from 1 species